CGCUGUGACAGGUGUUGCAUGGCUGUCGUCAGCUCGUGUCGUGAGAUGUAUGGUUAAGUCCAGUAACGAGCGCAACCCCUAUCCUUAUUUGCCAGCGCGUUAAGGCGGGAACUAUAGGGAGACUGCCGGGUGAAACCCGGAGGAAGGCGGGGACGAGGUCAAGUCAUCAUGGCCCUUAUGGGUAGGGCUACACACGUGCUACAAUGGGAAGUACAGAGGGAUGCGAAAGCGCGAGCUGGAGCUAAACCCUUAAAACUUUUCUUAGUCCGGAUUGGAGUCUGCAACUCGACUCCAUGAAGUCGGAAUCACUAGUAAUCGCGAAUCAGAAUGUCGCGGUGAAUACGUUCUCGGGCCUUGUACACACCGCCCGUCACAUCAUGGAAGUGGGUUGCACCAGAAGUGGUUAGUCUAACCUUUGGAAGACGAUCACCACGGUGUGAUUCAUGACUGGGAUGAAGUCGUAACAAGGUAGCCCUAGGGGAACCUGGGGCUGGAUCACCUCCUUA
rnacentral:rRNA from 1 species